GCCCCUGUAGGGCAAUAAAUAGCGUGUUGGACUUUUGAUCCAAAGGUCAUGGUUUUCAAUCCCAUCUGGGAUG